CGAGGACCCCAACAGUGAGGUAGCUGCUUCAGAGUCUUCCCAGAGUCAGCCUGAGGUGAGUAGAAUGAAUCUUUAUGUUGCAAGCAAAUAAAUUUUGAGCAUGAUCACGCAUCACGAAUGCCAUGAUAUAUAUACUAGGGUGUUUGCAUUAGAAUUCACGAAUAUGUUGCAUUGCAUAACUUGAUGUUGAUGUGGAUGGAUGUUGGAUGACCCAUUAGCCCUCAAUAUGAUAUGAUGAUUAAUGAAAGUCCAAGGCUGCCCAUGUCCAUGCGUCUUGGCAUUUGUUAUGUAUGAUUUAUGAAAGUCCAGGGCUGCCCAUGUCCACGCGUCUUGGCAUUGUGUGAUGAUUAAGAGGAAGUC
rnacentral:lncRNA from 1 species